GACGAACGCUGGCGGCGUGCCUAAUACAUGCAAGUAGAACGCUGAAGGAGGAGCUUGCUUCUCUGGACGAGUUGCGAACGGGUGAGUAACGCGUAGGUAACCUGCCUGGUAGCGGGGGAUAACUAUUGGAAACGAUAGCUAAUACCGCAUAAUAGUAGAUGUUGCAUGACAUUUGCUUAAAAGGUGCAAUUGCAUCACUACCAGAUGGACCUGCGUUGUAUUAGCUAGUUGGUGGGGUAACGGCUCACCAAGGCGACGAUACAUAGCCGACCUGAGAGGGUGAUCGGCCACACUGGGACUGGGACACGGCCCAGACUCCUACGGGAGGCAGCAGUAGGGAAUCUUCGGCAAUGGACGGAAGUCUGACCGAGCAACGCCGCGUGAGUGAAGAAGGUUUUCGGAUCGUAAAGCUCUGUUGUAAGAGAAGAACGAGUGUGAGAGUGGAAAGUUCACACUGUGACGGUAUCUUACCAGAAAGGGACGGCUAACUACGUG
rnacentral:rRNA from 1 species